rfam:Bacteroides sp. CAG:633 genomic scaffold, scf445
GCAGUCGGUCGGUCUGUCGCUUGCGCCUUGUGCGUAUGAGGAAAGUCCGGGCAACACAGAGCAUUCCACUUCCUAACAGAAAGCUAUCCGCGAGGGUAGAGUAACGCAGAAGAAAAUAACCGCCACAAUCUUCGGAUUGCGGUAAGGGUGAGAAGGCGGGGUAAGAGCCCACCAGUCUUGUGGUGACGCAAGGGCUGUGUGUCUUGGAAGUUGUAAGGUCAUGUAAACCGGCGCCACGAGAGUUGCUCGCUCCAUGUCGGAGGGUAGACCGCUAAAGCUCGUAUGGCAACAUACGGCUCAGAUAAAUGACAGACAAUUUGUCUUGACAGGACUGAAAGAUGAAAGGCGAAUGCCCGAAUCGAAACACGGCCCGCCAGGACAGAUUACAGAACCCGGCUUACAGACCGACUGCUUUU